UGUAAGAUAUAGAUUGGAUGGUUCCAAAAUUGUGAAGAUUUUCCUUGACCCAAAGGAGCGCAACAACACCGAGUACAAGCUGGAGACCUUUUCAGGAGUCUACCGCAAACUGUGUGGGAAGGAUGUUGUGUUUGAAUAUCCAGUAACAGAGAGUGCCUGAAGCACUCUCUUUUCAGGUUAUUUAAAUUAUUUAGCUAUGGAUUCUCAAGCAGGGACAAUUUAGCGAAGAAUUUCGUAAUUACAGGUAUUUGGAAUGUUGUUGUAUUUUUAUGUUUGUUUUUGCAAAUUGUUUGUUUGGUUCUGGAUAUUGAGCGCACUAUUUCCUUAAUUUUUGUUGGAAUGCUUAUUUAAACAUUCAAGAGUUAUUUUGAAUUACACCAUAAUGCAGCUUGGAUUUGUUGUUUAA